AAGUCGUAACAAGGUUUCCGUAGGUGAACCUGCGGAAGGAUCAUUAUUGAUUCCAAAAGAGAAGAGGAGCUUUGCAAAAAGCUCGUCUUUCUUUUCUGUGAACUGGAGUGUUCUGCUUGCUUCUCAUUUAUUUGGGAAAAGAGCAGAGCGCUUGCAUUCUUUUCUUGUCAUUUUUUUUCUUGCCUUUAAGGUAAAAAAAAAUCAAAGACAACUUUCAGCAAUGGAUCUCUUGGCUCUU
rnacentral:misc_RNA from 1 species